rnacentral:lncRNA from 1 species
AAAAAAUACAAAAAAUUCCACUGAUUCUUGAAGUGAAUCUAUCGUAAAAAUACUAUAAAUCAUGAUAAUUGACAACAUAAAAUAUUUCAAAAAUGUUGUAUGUGAGUAGUCUUAUUAUGCCUUAAAUAGCGUCAAAGAAAGUACAGGUUUGUGAUAAAAAAAAACUUAUUCCUUUAUCCAUGCAAACAAUCGCUUCAAAAACUCGGUUAUUAGCCCC